UCCGAGUUGACCCCGGCAGUCUCCUAUGAGUCCCCGCCAUAACGCGCUGGCAACAUAGAACGAGGGUUGCGCUCGUUGCGGGACUUAACCCAACAUCUCACGACACGAGCUGACGACAACCAUGCACCACCUGUGAACCGGCCCCAAAGGGGAAACCACAUUUCUGCGGCGGUCCGGUCCAUGUCAAGCCUUGGUAAGGUUCUUCGCGUUGCAUCGAAUUAAUCCGCAUGCUCCGCCGCUUGUGCGGGCCCCCGUCAAUUCCUUUGAGUUUUAAUCUUGCGACCGUAGUUCCCAGGCGGUUCACUUAAUGCGUUAGCUGCGACACCGAGGCGAAGCCCCGACAUCUAGUGAACAUCGUUUACGGCGUGGACUAC
rnacentral:misc_RNA from 1 species